rnacentral:rRNA from 1 species
AGUGAACGCUGGCGGUAGGCCUAACACAUGCAAGUCGAACGGCAGCACAGUAAUAGCUUGCUCUUACGGGUGGCGAGUGGCGGACGGUUGAGGAAUACAUCGGAAUCUACUUUUUCGUGGGGGAUAACGUAGGGAAACUUACGCUAAUGCCGCAUACGACCUACGGGUGAAAGCAUGGGAUCUUCGGACCUUGCGCGAUUGAAUGAGCCGAUGUCGGAUUAGCUAGUUGGCGGGGUAAAGGCCCACCAAGGCGACGAUCCGUAGCUGGUCUGAGAGGAUGAUCAGCCACACUGGAACUGAGACACGGUCCAGACUCCUACGGGAGGCAGCAGUGGGGAAUAUUGGACAAUGGGCGCAAGCCUGAUCCAGCCAUACCGCGUGGGUGAAGAAGGCCUUCGGGUUGUAAAGCCCUUUUGUUGGGAAAGAAAAGCAGCAGGUUAAUACCCCGCUGUUCUGACGGUACCAAAAGAAUAAGCACCGGCUAACUUCGUG